rnacentral:tRNA from 1 species
ACUCUCUUAUUAUAUAUGUAUAUUAUUGUGUAGUUUAGUAAGGUUGAAUUCCAAUCAACAAGAUCAGGUCUGAAGAGGGUU